GCCCCCUUAGCUCAGGGGAUAGAGCACCGCCCUCCGGAGGCGGGAGCGCAGGUUCGAAUCCUGCAGGGGGCGCCG
rnacentral:tRNA from 1 species